rnacentral:tRNA from 1 species
GCCUGGGUGGCUCAGUGGUUGAGCAUCUGCCUUCAGCUCAGGACGUGAUCCCAGGAUCCUGGGUUCGAGUCCCACAUCAGACU